rnacentral:rRNA from 1 species
AUUGAACGCUGGCGGCAGGCCUAACACAUGCAAGUCGAACGAGUGGCGGAAGGGUGAGUAAUGUCUGGGAAACUGCCUGAUGGAGGGGGAUAACUACUGGAAACGGUAGCUAAUACCGCAUACCCUCAGAUGUGCCCAGAUGGGAUUGGCGAGUUGGUGGGGUAACGGCUCACCAAGGCGACGACCCCUAGCUGGUCUGAGAGGAUGACCAGCCACACAGGAUCUGAGACACGGUCCAGACGCCUACGGGGGGCAGCAGUGGGGAAUAUUGCACAAUGGGCGCAAGCCUGAUGCAGCCAUGCCGCGUGUAUGAAGAAAGCCUUCGGAUUGGAGAGUACAUUCAGCGGGGGGGCGUUACCCGCAGAAGAAGCACCGGCUAACUCCGUGCCAGCAGCCGCGGUAAUUC